rnacentral:pre_miRNA from 1 species
UGAUAUUUAGAUAACAUUUUUUUGACAACAUUUGAACAUUCAUUACGUGUCAAUUUGUGAUUGGUCAAAAAUUACUCCACAAUCAAUAAUAAUAAUCAUAAACAUUAUUGCGGAAUAAUUUUUGACCAAUCACAGAUUGACACGUAAUGAAUGUUCAAAUGUUGUCAAAAAAAUGUUGUCUAAAUAUCA